rnacentral:misc_RNA from 1 species
UAUGAAGAACGUAGCGAAAUGCGAUAAGUAAUGUGAAUUGCAGAAUUCCGUGAAUCAUCGAAUCUUUGAACGCACAUUGCGCCCCCUGGUAUUCCGGGGGGCAUGCCUGUCCGAGCGUCAUUGCAACCUUCAAGCGCGGCUUGUGUGUUGGGUCUCGUCCCCCGUGGACGGGCCCGAAAGGCAGUGGCGGCGUCCCGACAUGGUGCCCGAGCGUAUGGGAAUCCUCUUCCGCUCGAAUCGGCCCAUGCGGCGCUGGUCGUAACCAAAUUUUUUACCGGUUGACCUCGGAUCAGGUAGGGAUACCCGCUGAACUUAAGCAUAUCAAUAAGCGGAGGA